rnacentral:rRNA from 1 species
UACGUAGGGGGCAAGCGUUGUCCGGAUUUAUUGGGCGUAAAGAGCUCGUAGGUGGUUCGGUAAGUCGGAUGUGAAAUCUCCAGGCUCAACCUGGAGGGGUCAUUCGAUACUGCCGUGACUAGAGUUCGGUAGGGGAGUGUGGAAUUCCCGGUGGAGCGGUGAAAUGCGCAGAUAUCAGGAGGAACACCCGUAGCGAAGGCGGCACUCUGGGCCGAUACUGACACUGAGGAGCGAAAGCGUGGGGAGCGAACAGG